rnacentral:rRNA from 1 species
UACGUAGGUGGCAAGCGUUGUCCGGAUUUAUUGGGUUUAAAGGGUGCGUAGGCGGUCAGGUAAGUCAGUGGUAAAAGGCGAUAGCGCAACUAUCGAAGUGCCAAUGAUACUGCCGGACUUGAGCAGAGCCGAGGUAGGCGGAAUUGACGGUGUAGCGGUGAAAUGCAUAGAUAUCGUCAAGAACACCGAUAGUGAAGACAGCUUACCAGACUCAGGCUGACGCUGAGGCACGAAAGUGUGGGGAUCAAACAGG